rnacentral:lncRNA from 10 species
GCGCUGGGAUUACAGGCAUGAGCCACCACGCCCAGCCUGCUGAAGUCUUUUUGAGCAGAGAAGGAAUGUGAUCACAGCUAGCAAUUGUGCAGGGAAUAGCUCUAGAAGCAGGAGGACCAGAUAAGAGGUUGUCGCAGUGACCUGAGUAACAAGAGAUGUGACUAAAGCAGAGACAGUGGAACAGAAAGAAGGGGAUAGAUUGGAGAGACAUCUUGAGGUUAGGCUUCACAACUCAUAAGAUGUGGAGAAGGCGUGAACUAAGAAAUUAAGGAUCAAAGAUUAUCCAGAGAUUUUUUUGAGGUUAGGGGGUUGAAAUACCAAAAGCAUGAUCCAAAAAAAGAAAAAAAAUUGAUAAGGAAUUGGAGCUCAUCAAAAUCAACUUUUGCUUUACAAAAGACCCUGUUAAGGGAAUGAAAAGAUAAGUUACAUACUGAGAUAAGAUAUUUGCAAAUCAUAUAUCCCACAACAGAUUUGUAUCUAAAAUAUAUAAAGGGCUGGGUGCAGUGGCUCACACCUGUAAUCCCAGCACUUUGGGAGGCUGAGGCGGGUGGAUUAUUUGAGGUCAGGAGUUUGAGACCAGCUUGGCCAACAUGGUGAGAUCCCCUCUCUACUAAAAAUACAAAAAUUAGUCGAGCAUGGUGGCACAUGCCUGUAAUCCCAGCUACUAGGGAGGCUGAGGUAGGAGAAUCGCUUGAACCCAGGAGGCGGAGUUUGCAGUGAGCCGAGAUCGCACCACUGCACUCCAGCCUGGGUGACAGAGUGAGACUGUGUCUCAAAAAAUAAAAAUAAAAAAUAUAUAUAAAGAACUUUCCAAACUCAACAGAAAAAAAAAAAAACAAUUAGGAAGUAGGCAAAAGACAAGACAUGAAAAGGAUAUACAGUCAGCAAAUGAGCACAUGAAAAGAUGUUCAACAUCAUUAGCCAUUGGGAAAAUGCAAAUUGAGAUCACAAUGUGAUAUCACUAUACAUCUAUCAGAAUGGCCAAAAUAAAAACCAACACCAGAUGCCAGCAAGAAUGCUGAGAAACCAGAUGACUCAAACAUUGCUGGAGGGAAAGUAAAAUGGUACCACCAGUCUGGAAAACAGUUUGGCAAUUUCUUAUAAAGCUAAACAUGCUACUACCAUACCUCCCAGCAAUUAUUCUGUUGAGCAUUUGUCCCAGAAAAAUGAAAACUAUGUUCACACAAAAACCUGUAUGUGAAUGUUCAUAGUGGCUUGAUUCUAUAGCCAAAAACUGGAAAUGACUCAGGUGUCCUUCAGCAGAUAAGUAGUUAAACAGAUUGUGCUACAUCCAUACUGUGGAGUACUACUCAGCAAAAAGAAGCAACAAACUUGAUACACACCACAACUUGGAUGGAUCUUAAGAGCAGUAUGCUGAGUGAAAAAAGCCUAUCUAUCUCAAAAGUUUAUAUACUGUAUGGUUCCAUUUCUAUAACAUUCUCAAAAUGACCAAAUUUUAGAGAAGGAUAACAGAUGAAUGGUUGUUGGGACUUAGGGAUGGUGAAGGAGGAGGGAUGGGAAUGACUGUAAAGGAGGUAGAGGAGGGAAAUCUUUGUGGUGAUAAAAUAGUUUCGCAUCUUGAUUGUGGUUGAGGUUACAUGAAUCUACACUUGCGAUUAAAUGGCCUAGAAUUAUACACUUAUACACACACAAAUGAGUGCUUGUAAAACUAGUGACAUAUUAAUAAGAUCUGUGAAUUGUACCAAUGUCAAUUUCCUGACUUGGAUAUUGAACAGUAAUUAUGUAAGAUGUUAACAUGUGGGGAAACCUGGGGAAGGGUGUGUAGAACCUCUCUGCACUAUUUUUUUUUUGCAGCUUCCUGUUAUUCUAUAAUUAUUUUAAAAGUAAGAGCUCAGUACAAAAAAGGAAUGAACUUCUAUUGAUACAUGCACAAAUCUGCAUGAACCUCAAAGGCAUUAUGCUGAGUAAAAAAAUAAAAUAGCCUAUCUUAAAAGGUUACAGACUGUUUGAUUGCAUUUAUAUGGCAUUCUCAAAAAGACAACACUACAGUGAUGGAGAACAGAUCAGUGCUUGCUAGGUGUGGGGGAGAAAGGAAGAUGUGAUUGCAAAAGGAUAGCACAAGGAGAUUUGAGGGGUUAUGGAACUCCUCUCUGUCAUGAAUCUAUACAUAUGUUUAAAAUCAGAUCUGCACAUGCACAAAUGUCAAUUUUACUGCAGAAUAAAAUUUAAAAUAAAAGUAGAUAGGCAAGGCCGGGCAUACCUGUAAUCCCAGCACUUUGGGAGGCCGAGUCGGGUGGAUCACGAGAUCAAGAGAUCGAGACCAUCCUGGCCAGCAUGGUGAAACCCCAUCUCUACUAAAAAUACAAAAAUUAGCUGGGCAUGGUGGCACACACCUGUAGUCAUAGUUACUCGGGAGGCUGAGGCAGGAGAAUUGCUUGAACCCGGG